rnacentral:tRNA from 1 species
UGUUUAGCUCAGUUGGUUAGAGCAACGGACUGUUAAUCCGUGUGUCGCCGGUUCGAAUCCAGCAAC